rnacentral:sRNA from 1 species
UAACAACCCUAGCCAAAAAAGGAACUCCAGAC